rnacentral:lncRNA from 1 species
GUUUUUUGGCCCUUAAUCCUUAUUUUAGGUUCCCCCUGGCCUGGGACCUGCCACUUAUGACCCACACAGUCCGUCUUCACACUCCCUGAAGCAAUGGCUGCUCUGAAGUUUUUCACCACAAAUUAUUUUUGCCUGUUCUAGAAAGUCAUAUAAGUGCAAACAUAUGCUCCCUGCCAUCCUCAGCCGAAGGUGCAUUGGAGUGAUGCUGCCAAAGAAGAAAUAAAAGAGGAAGCUUUAUGCUGAUGUAGAAUUAAUUUAUAAAGCCUGGGGUGGAGAAUUUAACCUUUGUGCACAAGACUCCCUUCUGAUUAACAGAUGGUUUUAGAUCCUGCAUCCUCAGGAGAUUGGAUCCUAUUAUAGCAGGUGUAAAACUCACUGCUCUGGGUGCAUCUCUGUAGAGUUCAGGUCUUAAAGUCUGCCAUUCUCUUCCAAUAAAUCCUGUGGUUGCUCAGAUUUUUAACAUAAAAAUAUAGAAUGAGCUCAUAUUACAGAGUGGUUUGAAUUAUUUUUACAACAUAGUUUCUUUGAACAGUAUGUUCGUUCUCUGUGAGAUUUUUUUAUUGGAAGAUGUUAGAUACUUGAAAUUAUCUAAAGUUUACAUGGUGCUAUUGUAACAGUGUAAAUUAGAGCUUGUGAGAUGCGUUUUCUGCUUUCAUGAGGCUAGUGCUCUUCAAAUAACAUUGAGCACCAAUG